GGAGGUGUAGCUCAAUGGUACAGAGCCUGCCUAGAAUACGAGGCACUGGGUUUGAUCCCCAGCACCAUCA
rnacentral:tRNA from 1 species